rnacentral:rRNA from 1 species
CAGUCGCCGCGGGAAUACGUAGGGUGCAAGCGUUAAUCGGAAUCACUGGGCGUAAAGCGUGCGCAGGCGGUCCGCUAAGACAGAUGUGAAAUCCCCGGGCUUAACCUGGGAACUGCAUUUGUGACUGGCGGGCUAGAGUAUGGCAGAGGGGGGUAGAAUUCCACGUGUAGCAGUGAAAUGCGUAGAGAUGUGGAGGAAUACCGAUGGCGAAGGCAGCCCCCUGGGCCAAUACUGACGCUCAUGCACGAAAGCGUGGGGAGCAAACAGGAUUAGAUACCCCCGUAGUCCCUGUCUCUUAUAA